rnacentral:rRNA from 1 species
GACAGAGGGUGCAAACGUUGUUCGGAAUUACUGGGCGUAAAGGGCCAGUAGGCGGCCAACUAAGUCGGAUGUGAAAUCCCCAGGCUCAACCUGGGAACUGCAUCCGAUACUGGAUGGCUUGAAUUCGGGAGAGGGAUGCAGAAUUCCAGGUGUAGCGGUGAAAUGCGUAGAUAUCUGGAGGAAUACCGGUGGCGAAGGCGGCAUCCUGGACCGACAUUGACGCUGAACGGCGAAAGCUAGGGGAGCAAACGGG